rnacentral:rRNA from 1 species
AGAGUUUGAUCCUGGCUCAGAACGAACGCUGGCGGCAGGCCUAACACAUGCAAGUCGAACGAGACCUUCGGGUCUAGUGGCGCACGGGUGCGUAACGCGUGGGAAUCUACCCUUAGGUGCGGAAUAACUCAGAGAAAUUUGAGCUAAUACCGCAUAAUGACUCCGGUCCAAAGAUUUAUCGCCUAAGGAUGAGCCCGCGUAAGAUUAGCUAGUUGGUGAGGUAAAAGCUCACCAAGGCGACGAUCUUUAGCUGGUCUGAGAGGACGACCAGCCACACUGGGACUGAGACACGGCCCAGACUCCUACGGGAGGCAGCAGUGGGGAAUAUUGGACAAUGGGCGCAAGCCUGAUCCAGCCAUGCCGCGUGAGUGAUGAAGGCCUUAGGGUUGUAAAGCUCUUUUACCAGGGAUGAUAAUGACAGUACCUGGAGAAUAAGCUCCGGCUAACUCCGUGCCAGCAGCCGCGGUAAUA